ACAUAUCGUGACCAAACUUGGUUCAAAGACCCAUGACCUCAUCAUGCGAGUAGGGUUCCAGCUGCAGCCCCGGAGAACAACACCCUGGCGUGACAACAACCCAGGCGCGACGGAAGUAAUCUGGCGUGACGGAAGUGAUUUUUUUUUAUACUUUAUUUUACACACCGCUGAAUCGGAAACCAAAGAUGAACCAUGGAAAGAUCUCGCAGAGCAGCUUGUUCCAGGAACUUGGUUGAAGAAAACUGGAUAUGAUAUCGCAGUACAUGCAUUUUUUGUUGCCUAACUUUUAAGGAAUAAAUCGUUUUUAGAUGUGUUUCUAAUGUUAUUUUUUACCUUCAUUGCUCAGGGACUUCCACCACAGCCAUAUGGGAACGACUGUGGGAUCUUCAUGAUUAUGGUAUACUCGGUCGCAGACUUAAAAUGUACUGAACAGAUAUAACAACGCGUGUGAAUGUCACCAAUUACAUUUUUCCAUCACAGUACGCUUGGUACCUUGCCAUGGAGGCACCAUUCAACCUCACUGUUGUAAGUAGGCAUUAAAUUAAAUGAAAAAAGAGCUGACGAUUGAAAAGAUACGUUUAAAAUAAGAAUUGGAUUUUUGACGUAUGUAAGGUUACAACAUCGAAAAAUUCAUACUUGUAUGCAUAUUUUAUCAUUGUCAAUUCUUGGAAUAUCCCCUUACUUUAGAAAGACAUGCCUGUCCUCAGUAAAUGGUGGUGCACAGUACUGCUUGAGAACUUCCACCUGGAUCGGCACGGCAGAAGGUUCCCACACUUCAUGGAGGAGGCCAAACAAAUGGCGGCUUGACUACUUCCACCAGUCUUCAGACUGAAGUGAAAAAGAGAAGUGAAUGUUGACAAGCUGAACAAAUCCGUCAAACAGCUUUUUUAAAUUCCAUACUGUCAAACACAGUCAAAAUAACGUGAUGGCGAAGACGCCAAACAGGAAUAAAGCCCAUUUCUCAGCAGCUCUUAAAUAAAUCAUGCCAAACUUGCCAACCAGGAAAUAAGUCAAUUUCUCAGCAGCCGUUGGACAUAUCAUAACCAAACUUGGUUGAACCCCAUGAAAUCAUCAUGGGGUCACCCAAACAAUUUGGUGACAUUUAACCUCAGGGGGACGGCAAACAGGAAGUGAGGUCAAAUCUAUGCACAGUGUUCGUGUAUCUGAACCAAACUUGGCGCAUAUUCUUAUGACUCUGUCCUGAUGAUGCCCAAAUAAUUUGAUGACAUUUGACCUCUACGGGGUCAUUAAAAACACAGUGUGAUCAUAUCUCAGUCUAUCUUUACAUUUUUGAUGUGAAACUUGUUGAAAGUGCUGAAGGCCGUGUGUCUGAAGUAGAUCUAUCUUGUUGCUGUGGCUAUUCUGGUAAAUUGCAGACGGGUUGUGUUACCUUGCGACGACGUGCAUGAUCAACGCAACAAACGAUCGCGAAAAUACGUACGGCAACCAUGAUCCGUAGGCGGAUGCAUUGUUAGCAGCAAGUCUAUUCCAUCCCUUAGAAUGCAACUUCAAUGUAUUUUCACUUUGAUAACCAUUUGCCAAUAGCUUUCAUUGUGGGUGAAAUUACUGAGACGGUCAUCAUCUAGCCACCUACCCAAUUAUGUCUGGCCUCCAAAAUUAGUUUAUGGAGUCAUAUUCUGCUUGGCCCCCUCGUUGCUGCUCGCAGCUAUAUUUUAAUAUUGUGUUCUUAUUUCUGCGAUAUGGCUUAUAGUAUUAGCCAUUAAUUAUUAUGUAUUGUGGCAACCCGUCUCUGGCACAGCGCCCCUGGAGGCCCAUGGGGCAGGUUGUGGAGGCGGUGUACCACAGAUUUCCAUCAGAUGGCGCCAGUGAGAGCAUUGGUGUCCAGCCAAUUAUUGAAAUGCGGAGCACCUGAGGAGGCGCGAACCAGGCUCUCCUGGUUCGCGUGUGCGGAGGGUGACGGGAUUCCACCCGGAGGAACGAGACUAUGGAUUCCUCAAAAGCUAGGUUUAAUGGUAAUGUACUUUCUGUUUGAUUAAAAGUGUCGUUUUGGCUUUACGUUAGCUCCAGUUUGUGUGCUAUUUGUAACAGGGCGGUUCACUCCCCAAGCCGGGUUGCCACAGUAUGAACUCGUGAAUGAACAGUCAACAUGAAGAUCAUAACCUUUGUGUUGUUCUUGGAGAGUGAGAGCAGCAUUCGUGUUACGGUCGAAUGUAAACUAGUUCAAUGGAGGUCUUUGGUCUGUCAGGAUCAACACAUCAUCUGGGACAACGCAGCAGUGAAGAGCCACAGUACUUUUCCGUGUGCUGCCAAUAAGGUCUUAUCAAAGACCGAGACCAUGUUACCAUCUUUACAUUCUUUGUAAAAGAAAAAUUACAACGUUUUAUACGUUUU